CAGGUUAUGCAACCUCGUGACCCAUGAUUAUUAAAAAAAAUCAUAAAUUUAUUUUAACUAAUGCCGAUUGCCGAACGCCGAAUGCCGAUAAUGCUUUUUUCUUAUUCAUCUUCAGUUUUUUGUGGAUUUUAAUAAAUUAUUUUUAAUUUUAACUAAUAGUUCAUCUUUUUAAAAUUCUUGCUAGUUUAUCGAUUCUUAACUUACUUAUUAACAUUUCAAUUAAGUAUCUUCAAAUAAUACUUUAUAUUACACUUUAAACAUCAUGAGUGAAACACCAAAAAUUCCAAACGAGCAACAAGCAAACACAGAAGUCACCAAAACCAAAAAAAAACGAAAUAGAAACCGUAAAAAUAAUGUUAAGGCAGAACAAAGCACUGAGAACGGAACUGUUGAGGAAACUACUCUGCCAUCUACUAUUUCUAUUCAAGAUAUUCAAAAAGCAAUGGAAGUCUUCUCACUUCAACAAAGAGCAGCUAAAACUCCCGCUGAGGCUUUACAUAAACAAUAUCGUUUUUGGUACACUCAACCAGUGCCUAAAAUGACUGAAAAAAUAGUUAGUGAUGGUCCAAUUGAAGAAGAUAAAACAAUAGAUCAGAUUAGAAAAGAACCGUUUACAUUGCCUGACGGUUUCCAAUGGGAUACACUUAGUCUUGACGAUCCUCUUGUUUUAAAAGAAUUGUAUACAUUAUUAAAUGAAAACUAUGUUGAAGAUGAAGAUAGCAUGUUUCGAUUUGAUUAUCAGCCUCAUUUUUUAAAAUGGGCUCUUCAACCUCCUGGAUGGUUAAAAGAAUGGCAUGUUGGAGUACGAGUCAUUAAAAGUAGUAAAUUAGUUGGUUUCAUUAGUGCCAUCCCAGCUUUGCUUAAAGUUUAUAACAAGUCUCAAAAAAUGGUUGAAAUUAAUUUUCUUUGCGUUCAUAAAAAAUUACGUAGUAAAAGAGUAGCUCCGGUCUUGAUUCGUGAAAUAACUAGACGUGUGAAUCAAAUGGGUAUUUUUCAAGCUGUUUAUACAGCUGGAAUUGUUUUACCUAAACCUAUAGGAACUUGCAGAUAUUGGCAUCGUUCUUUAAACCCAAAGAAGUUAAUAGAAGUUAAGUUUUCACACCUUAGUCGUAAUAUGACUAUGCAACGGACAUUAAAGUUACAUAAGCUUCCUGACUCAACACGCACUCCUGGAUUUCGUAAACUGACUGAUAAAGAUUUGCCACAAGCUCGAAAAUUACUUACUAGUUAUAUGAAAACCUUUAAUUUGUCACCUACGUUUUCUGAUGAAGAAUUCAAACAUUGGUUCCUGCCUCAAGAAGGCAUUAUUGAUGCCUAUGUUGUUGAAAAUGAUAACAAAAUUACAGAUUUAGUUAGUUUUUAUACUCUUCCUUCGACUAUUAUGCAUCACCCAACUUAUCGUACAUUAAAGGCAGCAUACUCUUUUUAUAAUGUGUCUACUAAAACACCGUGGGUUGAUCUUAUGCAAGACGCUCUUAUUUCAGCUAGAGAUGCUAACUUUGACGUGUUCAACGCCUUAGAUCUUAUGGAUAAUAAGGAAUUUUUAGAACCACUUAAAUUUGGAGUUGGAGAUGGAAAUUUACAAUAUUAUUUAUACAAUUGGAAAUGCCCUGAAAUUCCAAGUGAUAAGAUUGGAUUAAUCCUUCAAUAAUAAGUGUCAGUGAAUAAAAGUUGAAUAAUCUGUGUACAAUAUAUGAAAAAUAAAUUAUCACAACAACAAUUGAUUAAUAAUGUGCAUUGACUAGUACCUUUUUAUGAUCAUAUGCCUACCAACAAACAAGGAUGAACUAAAUAUGUGAUAAAUAUUUAGAUACAAGAUGUAAAUAUUAUAUUCUAUUGGAGUUGAGAAAUACAGUCGGCAGCCAACUUGUAUGCACAGGAGUGGCUAAAUUACACAGUAGGUGUAUAAAUGGUUGAUUCAGUGGGGAAGACAACUGGUGUUGCUUAACCCCCGACCAACAAAAACUUAUCAUGACCAACUGUGUUUCUUACCUUGAACAAGUAUACAUCACUAUUUACUUAUUAUAGAUAUAAAACAUAUACAUUUUUGAUAAGAUAUUAAGCUUUAGUUAAUUUUUUGCAAUACAAGAUUUUAUAUCUAAGAUAUUUUUUUUAAUUAUUAGAUUAGUAAGAAAAAUGUCUAUAAACUAAAAUCACUUAUUAAACUGAAAAAUAGGGAAAUGUACAAUUAUAAAAUAUUUCAUAAUAAUAUGUAAUUUUUUUGUUACAAGUUCAAAAAUAAUUUUAUUCUGAAAAAUUCAGACUUUUUUUUACUUGUUUCAUUAAUCAUUUGAUAAUUCUGUCGAUCAGUUAUAAAAAUAGAAAUAAAAAUAUAAUCUAAGUCUUAGAUUGUCUACGAAUUACAGCGGUUGAUUCUUUGACUAAAUUAAACAUUCGUACUUAGUAGGUUGAUAGUAUCUUUAAGUGAAUUGAUGCAAUAAUAAAGUAUAAAAUACACACAGACAUAAUUAAUUAUUAUAUAAUGUAUAAUCAAUACCAAAAUAUACAUGUAUCGAUGUAUCUAAAUAUUAUGCUCUAGGACCUUGGUAUAAUUUAAUAACUAAAUAAAUAAACAAUUUAAUUUUUGUAUUAUAUAUUUUAACUUUUACUCUUACAAAGUUUAAAUAAUAUAAUUUCAAAUUAAAACAAGUAAAAAUAAAUCUUGAACACAUAAUAAUUAUGUAAAAUAUAAUUAUGAAUAACAAAAUAAAAUGUUAAAAUUGUUUUAUAUACAAUGUAAUAUGUAUUUACAACAAAAGUUUUGGUUUUAACUUUUUAUUAUAUAUAUUACCACUGAUUAAAUAUACAUAUAAAUGUAUAUCAAUGAUAUAAUUUUUAUUAUUAAUUAUGAAUGUUUAAAAUUGGCUACAAGAUCACAGUUUUAAAAAUAAAUUAAUUUUAUAUUAUUUCAUAACACAAAACAAUAUUAACCAUUAUAAUCCACCAAUCAACUGUUAAUUGAACUUCCAUCAAAUUAAUUUGAUAACUAAAUCAAAUUCCAUCAAAAUUAAUUGAUUUAAACAUUUCAAAAAAUUAUAAAUAUAUACAUAUAUAUAUAUAUAUAUAUAUUGAGGUACACAAAUUGUAUUUAAAAUCUAUAAAUUUUAUCUUAAAUAAAUACAUUAUAAGAAAGGAAAAUAAAAUUACUGUUUCAUGAUUGUGUAUGGGUUUUAGAUGUGAAAUAAAAUAUAAUUUUUGUUGUCGACAAAAUUAAUAAACAAGAAUAAUGAACAAAGUAAGAUAAGUAAAGCUAAAUAUUAAAACUAAAAAAAA